GAGCCUGAUAUUUAGAAUGAGAUUCUUGGGCUGCCUAAACCCUUUCUUUUGUUUUUGGAGGAGCGUCUUAAUGUCUGUUUCCCUUCCUUACUACUGUCUAUACUUGAGGUUUAAACAAUAUGCUAGUGGCCUGUAAAAUCUUAUACUAUGCAUAAAAGUGUGCCAAAUGUUUAGAAGUAUAGACAGGUCGAUUGUCUGUUUUCAUUGCUUGUGG
rnacentral:lncRNA from 1 species